CUGCCAAGGGCAUGGCUGGGUAGCUAUGUACGGAAUGGAUAAGCGCUGAAAGCAUCUAAGCGCGAAGCCAACUUCAAGAUAAGAUUUCCCACCGCAAGGGUAAGACCCCAGAAAGACUAUCUGGUUGAUAGGUCGAAGGUGUAAGUGCAGUAAUGUAUUUAGCUUAUCGAUACUAAUAGGUCGAGGACUUGACCAAU
rnacentral:rRNA from 1 species